rnacentral:rRNA from 1 species
UUUCCAGAGAUGGACUGGUGCCUUCGGGAACUGUGAGACAGGUGCUGCAUGGCUGUCGUCAGCUCGUGUUGUGAAAUGUUGGGUUAAGUCCCGCAACGAGCGCAACCCUUAUCCUUUGUUGCCAGCGAUUAGGUCGGGAACUCAAAGGAGACUGCCAGUGAUAAACUGGAGGAAGGUGGGGAUGACGUCAAGUCAUCAUGGCCCUUACGACCAGGGCUACACACGUGCUACAAUGGCGCAUACAAAGAGAAGCGACCUCGCGAGAGCAAGCGGACCUCAUAAAGUGCGUCGUAGUCCGGAUUGGAGUCUGCAACUCGACUCCAUGAAGUCGGAAUCGCUAGUAAUCGUGGAUCAGAAUGCCACGGUGAAUACGUUCCCGGGCCUUGUACACACCGCCCGUCACACCAUGGGAGUGGGUUGCAAAAGAAGUAGGUAGCUUAACCUUCGGGAGGGCGCUUACCACUUUGUGAUUCAUGACUGGGGUGAAGUCGUAACAAGGUAACCGUAGGGGAACCUGC